rnacentral:piRNA from 1 species
UGCAAACUUUAUAUGCCCCA